rnacentral:rRNA from 1 species
UACGUAGGGUGCGAGCGUUAAUCGGAAUUACUGGGCGUAAAGAGUGCGUAGGUGGUUUAUUGCGCCAGAUGUGAAAUCCCCGGGCUCAACCUGGGAAUGGCAUAUGGUACGGAUAGACUAGAGUACGAUAGAGGGGGGUAGAAUUCCAUGUGUAGCAGUGAAAUGCGUAGAGAUGUGGAGGAAUACCGAUGGCGAAGGCAGCCCCCUGGAUUGAUACUGACACUGAGGCACGAAAGCGUGGGGAGCAAACAGG